rnacentral:rRNA from 1 species
CACGAAACAAGUUGAGCUAAUUUUUACAAAUUGUUAGAUUUAUUUGUGUGGCAUAAUAUAUAUUAGUAAAAAUUAGGAGUGAUAGGCUUUACAAGACUUGUGAUAACUUGAUGUUAUGGAAAAGUAUUAAGUAUAAAAUCAACUAAAGGGUCACAAGGCUGUUUAGAAGUAUUAAAUAUUAUUUUUUGUAGUAUACAUUAUUUAAUAAUUUGUAAUUUUUUUUUCCUCAAAUAUUCAUCUAGUCUAUUUAUAUAAAUUACAUAACAUUAUAUAAUUUAACUAAUAUAUUUUAAAUGUUAUUAUAAGUAAUAAAUAGAGAUAUUAAUAAUGAACUCGGCAAUAUGCUUGGCAACUGUUUAUCAAAAACAUUGCUAUUAGAUUUAUUAAUAGUUUUUUCUGCUCAAUGAAUUUUUAAAUAGCCGCAGUACCCUGACUGUGCAAAGGUAGCAUAAUCAGUUGGCUUAUAAUUGAAGUCGUGUAUGAAUGAAUUAAUGGUAAGCAACUGUAUCAUUAAUAAUUAAAUGAAAUUACUGAAUAAGUGCAAAUUCUUAUAUUUAAAUAAUAGACGAGAAGACCCUUGAAAUUUUGAGUAUAUUUUCUUUAUGGUUUUUGUUGGGGCAACAAUAUAACAAUUUUAAUUUAUAUUAUUAACAUGAAAUUCAAUUAGACAGAUUAAAUUACUCUAGGGAUAACAGCGUAAUACAAAAGUGUUUGCGACCUCGAUGUUGGAUUAGGAUUCGAAUGCUUAG